AUUCCCAUAGUGUAGUGGUUAUCACGUUUACCUAACAUGCAAAGGGUCCCUGGUUCAAAACCAGGUGGAAACA